GGUGAGUAACACGUAAGAAUUUGCCUUUAGGAGGGGGACAACAACUGGAAACGGUUGCUAAUACCCCAUAUGCUUUCGAGUGAAAUGGAUUUUUCCGCCUAGAGAGAAGCUUGCGGCUGAUUAGCUUGUUGGUGAGGUAACGGCUUACCAAGGCGACGAUCAGUAUCUGGUUUGAGAGGACGAUCAGACACACUGGAACUGAGACACGGUCCAGACUCCUACGGGAGGCAGCAGUGGGGAAUUUUCCGCAAUGGGCGAAAGCCUGACGGAGCAAUCUCGCGUGAGGGAUGACUGCCUAUGGGUUGUAAACCUCUUUUUUCAGGGAGGAAUAAAUGACGUGUACCUGAAGAAUAAGCAUCGGCUAACUCCGUGCCAGCAGCCGCGGUAAUACGGAGGAUGCAAGUGUUAUCCGGAAUCACUGGGCGUAAAGCGUCUGUAGGUGGUUUAAUAAGUCAACUGUUAAAUCUUGAGGCUCAACUUCAAAAUCGCAGUCGAAACUAUUAGACUAGAGUAUAGUAGGGGUAAAGGGAAUUUCCAGUGGAGCGGUGAAAUGCGUAGAGAUUGGAAAGAACACCGAUGGCGAAGGCACUUUACUGGGCUAUUACUGACACUCAGAGACGAAAGCUAGGGUAGCAAAUGGGAUUAGAUACCCCAGUAGUCCUAGCUGUAAACAAUGGAUACUAGAUGUUGAACAGAU
rnacentral:rRNA from 1 species